rnacentral:misc_RNA from 1 species
UAGUCAACCACGAUAUAUCGAUAAUGGUGUGAUGAAUAGUAGGGCUUUAGUGCGAGCGAAUUCAGAGAUGGAUUUGGUGGGGCACCCUAGAUCGAGACCAUUCCAGCGACCAAGGGUUGCAGUUGUGGAAAACAAUAAUGUAGCUGCUGAAUUUGUGGAGAAGGAGAAGAGGACCCCGAAGGCCAAUCAGUACUACACUAAUUCCGAAUUCUUACUUGCGAAGGAUAGAUUGCCUCCGGAAAGCAAUAAGAAAUUUAAGCCAAAUGGUGCUGGGAGGAAACACAAUGGUGAGUUGGAG